UGUACCCACACAUCGGAUCUUUUUCGUAUCGAGUAGAAGCACCGUGUACAUAUAUAAAGAUCACCAGACCCACCUCACGAAAAGUCACGUCUAAGGUUGUGUUGCAUUUCAAUGGAGAGGAAUUGGUCGGGGAGACUCACCCCAGCUCCACGAUAUGAAAAGUUCAAAAAUGGAGGAGCAUCGACAUCCAAGAAGGGUCACCGCAGGGUUCAUAGCACGACGGUGCCGUUGGAGGGAGAUGGUCCACGGCUCUUGCGUAGUGGUGGGAUGAGAAGGGAAUGGAGCUUUGAGAAUCUUAAUCAGAGAAGAGAGGAUAUAGUAACUGAAAGGGGAAGAGCCUUUUGAUAUUUUUGGCGGGAAAUGUUCUUAUUUUUCCUACUCUCCUUUCCUGCUUUUUCUUGGCUCUCUCUCCCUCUCUCUUCUGUUUGUCUCUUGACAUUUUUUUUGGUUUGUUACUUUGUUUUGCUUUUCUUUCCAUCUUUUUUGGUUUUUGUUUUUGUUUUUCCCUUCCUCAUGAAUCUUCUGAUGGAAAUUUGCAGAUUAUCUCUGAACUUGUAUGUAAUAUUAAUGGGUGGAAUUGGGUUUUUGAAUUUAAUUUCUUUCUCUCUCUCUUUUUCUGUUUUUAA